rnacentral:misc_RNA from 1 species
GAUGAAGAACGUAGCGAAAUGCGAUACUUGGUGUGAAUUGCAGAAUCCCGUGAACCAUCGAGUCUUUGAACGCAAGUUGCGCCCGAAGCCAUUAGGCCGAGGGCACGCCUGCCUGGGCGUCACACGUCGUUGCCCCCCCCAUCUACUCCUUCGGGAUUGCGGGGGGCGGCUGAUGGCCUCCCGUGCGCCUCGCCGCGCGGUUGGCAUAAAUGCCAAGUCCUCGGCGAUGCACGCCACGACAAUCGGUGGUUGCGAAACCUCGGUUGCCCGUCGUGUGCGGUCGUCGCGCAUCGAGGGCUCGAAAAAAUUGCCGGGUUCCGGCUCGGCUUUCAACGCGACCCCAGGUCAGGCGGGGUUACCCGCUGAAUUUAAGCAUAUCAAUAAGCGGAGGA